UGGGCGAUGUACUGCUGCA
rnacentral:misc_RNA from 1 species